rnacentral:rRNA from 1 species
CCUACGGGUGGCAGCAGUGGGGGAUAUUGCACAAUGGGGGGAACCCUGAUGCAGCGACGCCGCGUGAGCGAAGAAGUACCUCGGUAUGUAAAGCUCUAUCAGCAGGGAAGAAAAUGACGGUACCUGACUAAGAAGCCCCGGCUAAAUACGUGCCAGCAGCCGCGGUAAUACGGAGGGGGCAAGCGUUAUCCGGAUUUACUGGGUGUAAAGGGAGCGCAGGCGGCCUGCCAAGUCUGAGGUGAAAACCCGGGGCCCAACCCCGGAUCUGCAUUGGAAACUGGCGGGCUGGAGUGUCGGAGGGGCAGGCGGAAUGCCUGGUGUAGCGGUGAAAUGCGUAGAUAUUAGAAGGAACACCGGUGGCGAAGGCAGCCUGCUAGGCGAUGACUGACGCUGAGGCUCGAAAGCGUGGGGAGCAAACAGGAUUAGAUACCCCAGUAGUC